GGCAAUUCGGACACUGCCGGGCUGAUGGAAGCCGACUGCCUGUGGAUGUGAUACAACACUAGGAAUGAUCAGGGGGACUGAUUAGAGCAGCACACGAUGAUCAGGGCGGCACGGUGGCGUUGUGGUAGAGCUACUGCCUGACAGCGCCACCGUAGUGGGCCAGGUAUCAAACACCGAAGAGAUGGAGUACGGGCAGAAGAUUGAGAACUUGAACCCUGUGCUGCCCAAUGGCAUCAACAACACACCUGCAAUCGACCGAGGAGAAGUUUGUAGACGGGUGAUUACACUUACCUGUCCUGUCUCUUGCUCCAAACAUUCAUACAGUUUGAUGCUGUAAUGAUGAAUUUUCUUCACAUUGAUCCCAGGAUGAAAAUAUGCUAUUAAGCCAGCCUGAAGGAAGAUAAAAUAUUUGAAUUUAAGACCUAAAUUUGUAAAAAGCAAAUUUGAACAAGUCGUGUCUGAUAAUACGUUGUCCUGAGGAGAUAAUUCAUUAAGAAUCAAAAUAAUAUUAACUUUCAUUAAGUAUUCUUGCAAGUCUUCCAAUGUCUUCCUCAAUUGAUAAACUUUUCAUUCAUUCUUUCUU